rnacentral:rRNA from 1 species
GAGUUUGAUCGUGGCUCAGAUUGAACGCUGGCGGCAUGCCUUACACAUGCAAGUCGAACGGCAGCAUGAUCUAGCUUGCUAGAUUGAUGGCGAGUGGCGAACGGGUGAGUAAUACGAUCGGAACGUGCCCUGUAGUGGGGGAUAACUAGUCGAAAGAUUAGCUAAUACCGCAUACGACCUGAGGGUGAAAGUGGGGGACCGCAAGGCCUCAUGCUAUAGGAGCGGCCGAUGUCUGAUUAGCUAGUUGGUGGGGUAAAGGCCCACCAAGGCGACGAUCAGUAGCUGGUCUGAGAGGACGAUCAGCCACACUGGGACUGAGACACGGCCCAGACUCCUACGGGAGGCAGCAGUGGGGAAUUUGGACAAUGGGCGAAAGCCUGAUCCAGCAAUGCCGCGUGUGUG